AAUUUUUGUAUGUGUAAGAGAGAGAUACAAUGAAAGCGGCCACCAUGGCCGCUAUUCAUUUAAAUAAAAUUUUAAGUGAAUGGAUUUAUACGUGUGUGCACAGCAAAGGAGGAGCAAGGAGGUGACGGUGAAAUUGGUGGAGAUAUUGAAAACACAAAUCUUCUUCUGCUUACGCGGUUAUAGCCGAGAUCACAACAGCGCGCCACGCACCUCUCCUUUUGUUAGUUAGGCGUCAAUUGGUAAUACCAAGUGAAGACAGGUCCUUCUCCACCUGGUCCUUCCAUUGGAGUGGAGGUCUCCCUCUUCCUCGGCUUCCACCAGCGGGUACCGCAUCGAAAACUUUCAGAGCUGAGGCACUUUCGUCCAUUCGAACAACAUGACCAAGCCACGCUUCUGCACUAUAAAGUAGGACGGGAAUGAUGAGGGACUUGUAGAGUUUAGUUUUUGUUCAUCGAGAGAGGACUUUACUUUUCAAUUGCCUACUCAGUCCAUAAACACAUAUACUUUGCACAAAUAGAGGAUUACAAUAGCUACAACUUUUCUUAGGUAUUAUAAACAAGACAACAACAAAUCCCAUCGGACAUUUAGAUUAGCAGUUGCACAACCUCUUUCCGACGAGAUGAACCCUCUUAUGAUGUACAUAUGAGAUAGGAUUGUAUGGAAUUGACAUCAAACAAUAUUGAUUGAGUAGUUUCGUUGGAACCUUGCAGAAUAAUUAUAAGGAAAUCGUUCGCGUUUAGUACUAAUGUAUUCAUUUUGAAUUAUGAAUUGAUAUAAAUUAUGAAUUAGAUUUAAAAGUAAUAUAUUAUUAAAUUAUACAAAUGAAUGUUCGAAUACUAAUAACAUUCGUAAUAGUAAUUGAAUUUUAAUUGUAUUGUAUAACGACAACUACAAAAAAUAAAAAUUUAAUAAUUAAUACUAACUUUAUUUAUAAAAUAUAUAAAUUUUGUCUAUGUAUAAAUGAUAGCUGCAAAAACGUUUGUAAAAA